rnacentral:rRNA from 1 species
UACGAAGGGGGGCUAGCGUUGCUCGGAAUCACUGGGCGUAAAGCGCACGUAGGCGGAUUGCUAAGUCAGGGGUGAAAUCCUGGAGCUCAACUCCAGAACUGCCUUUGAUACUGGCGACCUUGAGUCCGGGAGAGGUGAGUGGAACUCCGAGUGUAGAGGUGAAAUUCGUAGAUAUUCGGAAGAACACCAGUGGCGAAGGCGACUCACUGGCCCAUUACUGACGCUGAGGCGCGAAAGCGUGGGGAGCAAACAGGG